ACGGUAAUGAAGUUCAGGAUCAAUCCCUAGUGGAAUGGAGAGAUAUGCUUUCAUUGGUGUAAGCUGCCACUGAGAUCCUGGAGCUGUGUUGUGAUUGUAGAAGCCAUAGUUGUACUGGAAAACAAAGAAAAAGGACAUGAGCACUGGACAAACCUUAAGGGGGAAGCCAAACUGAGGUUCAAGGAGUGCCUAGUGAGAGA